AUUGAAUGCUGGCGGCAUGCCUUACACAUGCAAGUCGAGCGGUAACAGGUCUUCGGAUGCUGACGAGUGGCGAACGGGUGAGUAAUACAUCGGAACGUGCCUAGUAGUGGGGGAUAACUACUCGAAAGAGUGGCUAAUACCGCAUGAGAUCUACGGAUGAAAGCAGGGGAUCGCAAGACCUUGUGCUACUAGAGCGGCCGAUGGCAGAUUAGGUAGUUGGUGGGAUAAAAGCUUACCAAGCCGACGAUCUGUAGCUGGUCUGAGAGGACGAUCAGCCACACUGGGACCGAGACACGGCCCAGACUCCUACGGGAGGCAGCAGUGGGGAAUUUUGGACAAUGGGCGCAAGCCUGAUCCAGCAAUGCCGCGUGCAGGAUGAAGGCCUUCGGGUUGUAAACUGCUUUUGUACGGAACGAAAAGCCCUGGGUUAAUACCCUGGGGUCAUGACGGUACCGUAAGAAUAAGCACCGGCUAACUACGUGCCAGCCGCCGCCGUAA
rnacentral:rRNA from 1 species